rnacentral:tmRNA from 1 species
GGGGGUGAAAUUGGUUUCGACGUAGGAGAAGAGAUUAGAGAUGCGUUCCGGAGAUUGGUCAAUGUGAACUCCGUUAAAAACAUGACUAUUUAAAAUAAUCGCAGAUGAUUAUUACCAAGAAUUUGCCCUAGCGGCAUAAUUCCGUUCCACUCAGUUAAUCUUCUGAAUUGAGAUGGAACGUCGACUAAGAAGAUCGGAUUAUAUUUAUAGUAACAAAAUAUAAUCUUAAAAUAUGUUACUAACCCUCCCACCUUUUAGUUUCGCUAACCCCACCAUAGAGUGAGGUGGAUGAGGUGUAUAAAGGUUAGCUAUGAACGUAGUAUCAAAAAUUGAACUUUUGCGGACGUGGGUUCGACUCCCACCACCUCCACCA